ensembl:lncRNA
GAAGCAUGAGAUUGAGGACACUCUGCUCCUGCACCGAAAGAGUCUAAUUCAGAGACACUGCGCAUCAUCACUAAAGACCUUAUCAGGGACCUCAGGUUUUUGACGUUGCAUAUUUGACCUGUUUUUUGACGUUAAAUUUGAUGUCAAAUUGAUGUCUUUUCAUCAUCAGUUGCCCACUGUGAGAAUCCCAAAUGACAAUCCAUCUGGGCAGUCUGUCAUCCUGUCCUUGGCUGAGUUCAGGCAAAUAAUGGUGGAGUCUCAUGUUCCUAGUGAAGAGGAGAAGACCGCUCUGCUACAGGCCCAAUGCCAAGCCCAUGAGGAAGCCAUGGUAAGUCAUAAUUAUAUGUUUGACCCCAA